GUCUUUUUGAUUAUAAUUUAAAGUCUGACCUGCCCAGUGAAAAUUUAAACGGCCGCAGUAUACUGACUGUGCAAAGGUAGCAUAAUCAAUAGUUUUUUAAUUGAAAGCUAGAAUGAAUGGUUUGAUGAGAAAUUAACUGUCUCAUUUUAAUUUUAUUAGAAUUUUAUUUUUAAGUUAAAAAGCUUAAAUAUUAUUUAAAGACGAGAAGACCCUAUAGAAUUUUAUAAUUUAUAUAUAGAAUAAUUUAGAUUAAAUUUUUUUAUGUAAAAAAUUAUUUGAUUGGGGUGAUUUUAAAAUUUAAUUAACUUUUAAUAAAUUUAUUCAAAAAUUAUUGUGUAUUUGAUCUAAUAUUAUUGAUUAAAAGAAUAAAUUACCUUAGGGAUAACAGCGUAAUUUUUUUAGAAAGUUCAAAUUGAAAAAAGAGAUUGCGACCUCGAUGUUGGAUUAAAAUAAAUUUAUGGUGUAGAAGCUAUUGGAUUAGGUCUGUUCGACCUUUAAAAUUUUACA
rnacentral:rRNA from 1 species